ACGUAGGUGGCAAGCGUUGUCCGGAUUUAUUGGGCGUAAAGCGAGCGCAGGCGGUUUCUUAAGUCUGAUGUGAAAGCCCCCGGCUCAACCGGGGAGGGUCAUUGGAAACUGGGAGACUUGAGUGCAGAAGAGGAGAGUGGAAUUCCAUGUGUAGCGGUGAAAUGCGUAGAUAUAUGGAGGAACACCAGUGGCGAAGGCGGCUCUCUGGUCUGUAACUGACGCUGAGGCUCGAAAGCGUGGGGAGCAAACAG
rnacentral:rRNA from 1 species